rnacentral:rRNA from 2 species
UACGUAGGGGGCUAGCGUUAUCCGGAAUUACUGGGCGUAAAGGGUGCGUAGGCGGUUUCUUAAGUCAGAGGUGAAAGGCUACGGCUCAACCGUAGUAAGCCUUUGAAACUGGGGAACUUGAGUGCAGGAGAGGAGAGUGGAAUUCCUAGUGUAGCGGUGAAAUGCGUAGAUAUUAGGAGGAACACCAGUUGCGAAGGCGGCUCUCUGGACUGUAACUGACACUGAGGCACGAAAGCGUGGGGAGCAAACAGG